rnacentral:rRNA from 1 species
CACGUAGUUAGCCGGGGCUUCUUAGUCAGGUACCGUCAUCUUCUUCCCUGCUGAUAGAGCUUUACAUACCGAAAUACUUCUUCACUCACGCGGCGUCGCUGCAUCAGGGUUUCCCCCAUUGUGCAAUAUUCCCCACUGCUGCCUCCCGUAGGAGUUUGGGCCGUGUCUCAGUCCCAAUGUGGCCGGUCACUCUCUCAAGCCGGCUACUGAUCGCUGCCUUGGUAGGCCGUUACCCUGCCAACUAGCUAAUCAGACGCGGGCCCAUCCUGUACCACCGGAGUUUUUCACACCGUGCCAUGCGGCACUGUGCGCUUAUGCGGUAUUAGCACCCAUUUCUGGGUGUUAUCCCCCGGUACAGGGCAGGUUGCCCACGCGUUACUCACCCGUCCGCCACUCAGUCAUACCCCUCUUCCGCCCGGAGGCUUCCGUGGUGUAUGCUUCGUUCGACUUGCAUGUGUUAGGCACGCCGCCAGCGUUCAUCCUGAGCCAGGAUCAAACU